UAAGCCAUGCAUGUUUCCGCAAUCAGGGACGAAUAGCUCAGUAAAACUGCGAUGAUUUAGUCUGGCUGUGUAGAUAACUACGUGAAAAUGUAGCUAAGGGAAGGCAGAAUAAGACGCAGGACUAUCAGUUAGUUGGUAGUGUAAUGGACUACCAAGACAGUGACGGUUGACGGGAAAUUAGGGUUUUGUACCGGAGAGGGAGCCUGAGAGAUUGCUCCCACGUCCAAGGACGGCAGCAGGCGCGAAAAUUGCCCACUCUUUGCAGGAGGCAGUUAUGAGACGUGAAGAUGAGUAUCUUGUAAAGAGGGAUAGGAGAAUUGGAGGGCAAGUUUGGUGCCAGCAGCCGCGGUAAUACCGACUCCAAGAGUGUGUAUGAGAGAUGCUGCAGUUAAAAAGUCCGUAGUCAUAGAAGGGCAAAGAGAGAUGCGAGGUCUCACAGUGCGAUGAUGGAGGAGCCGAUGGGGAACAUAGUAUACCAGGGCGAGAGAUGAAAUGCCAAGACCCCUGGUGGACUGAGCGAGGCGAAGGCGAUGU
rnacentral:rRNA from 1 species